rnacentral:SRP_RNA from 1 species
UGUUGGUUCUUUUGCAAUGUCAGCUUGUUAACUAGGUCAGGUCUGGAAAGAAGCAACCAUAACAAGUUAUACAUGUGCUGAAAUGUAACUAACAGGG